AGUGAACGCUGGCGGUAGGCCUAACACAUGCAAGUCGAACGGCAGCACAGUAAGAGCUUGCUCUUACGGGUGGUGAGUGGCGGACGGGUGAGGAAUACAUCGGAAUCUACUUUUUCGUGGGGGAUAACGUAGGGAAACUUACGCUAAUACCGCAUACGACCUACGGGUGAAAGCAGGGGAUCUUCGGACCUUGCGCGAUUGAAUGAGCCGAUGUCGGAUUAGCUAGUUGGCGGGGUAAAGGCCCACCAAGGCGACGAUCCGUAGCUGGUCUGAGAGGAUGAUCAGCCACACUGGAACUGAGACACGGUCCAGACUCCUACGGGAGGCAGCAGUGGGGAAUAUUGGACAAUGGGCGCAAGCCUGAUCCAGCCAUACUGCGUGGGUGAAGAAGGCCUUCGGGUUGUAAAGCCCUUUUGUUGGGAAAGAAAAGCAGCAGGUUAAUACCCCGCUGUUCUGACGGUACCCAAAGAAUAAGCACCGGCUAACUUCGUG
rnacentral:rRNA from 1 species